GAUGAACGCUGACAGAAUGCUUAACACAUGCAAGUCGAUUCAAGUUACCUUUGGGUAAUGAGGAUGGCGGACGGGUGAGUAACGCGUAAGGAACUUGCCUCUUGGUCUGGGACAACUGUUGGAAACGACAGCUAAUACCGGAUAUUAUGAGAUUCUCGCAUGGGAAACUUAUGAAAGCUAUAUGCGCCAAGAGAGAGCCUUGCGUUCCAUUAGCUAGUUGGUGGGGUAACGGCCCACCAAGGCGACGAUGGAUAGCCGGCCUGAGAGGGUGAACGGCCACAAGGGGACUGAGACACGGCCCUUACUCCUACGGGAGGCAGCAGUGGGGAAUAUUGNNNNNUGGGNNACAAGCCUGAUCCAGCAAUUCUGUGUGCACGAUGAAGGUCUUCGGAUUGUAAAGUGCUUUCAGUUGGGAAGAAGAAAGUGACGGUACCAACAGAAGAAGCGACGGCUAAAUACGUGCCAGCAGCCGCGGUAAUACGUAUGUCGCAAGCGUUAUCCGGAUUUAUUGGGCGUAAAGCGCGUCUAGGCGGAAAAAUAAGUCUGAUGUUAAAAUGCGGGGCUCAACUCCGUAUUGCGUUGGAAACUGUUUUUCUAGAGUACUGGNAGAG
rnacentral:rRNA from 1 species